rnacentral:rRNA from 1 species
UAGGGAAUCUUCCGCAAUGGGCGAAAGCCUGACGGAGCAACGCCGCGUGAGUGAUGAAGGUCUUCGGAUCGUAAAACUCUGUUAUUAGGGAAGAACAAAUGUGUAAGUAACUAUGCACGUCUUGACGGUACCUAAUCAGAAAGCCACGGCUAACUACGUGCCAGCAGCCGCGGUAAUACGUAGGUGGCAAGCGUUAUCCGGAAUUAUUGGGCGUAAAGCGCGCGUAGGCGGUUUUUUAAGUCUGAUGUGAAAGCCCACGGCUCAACCGUGGAGGGUCAUUGGAAACUGGAAAACUUGAGUGCAGAAGAGGAAAGUGGAAUUUCAUGUGUAGCGGUGAAAUGCGCAGAGAUAUGGAGGAACACCAGUGGCGAAGGCGACUUUCUGGUCUGUAACUGACGCUGAUGUGCGAAAGCGUGGGGAUCAAACAGG